rnacentral:rRNA from 1 species
GACGAACGCUGGCGGCGUGCUUAACACAUGCAAGUCGAACGGAAAGGCCCUGCUUUUGUGGGGUGCUCGAGUGGCGAACGGGUGAGUAACACGUGAGUAACCUGCCCUUGACUUUGGGAUAACUUCAGGAAACUGGGGCUAAUACCGCAUAUGAUCUCCUGCUGCAUGGUGGGGGUUGGAAAGUUUCGGCUGUUGGGGAUGGACUCGCGGCUUAUCAGCUUGUUGGUGGGGUAGUGGCUUACCAAGGCUUUGACGGGUAGCCGGCCUGCGAGGGUUACCGGGCACAUUGGGACGGAGGUACGGACCAGACUGCUACGGGAGGCAAGAGGGGGGAAUCUUGCGCAACGGGGGGAAGCCUGAUGCAGCAACGCCGCGUGCGGGAUGACGGCCUUCGGGUUGUAAACCGCUUUCGCCUGUGACGAAGCGUGAGUGACGGUAAUGGGUAAAGAAGCACCGGCUAACUACGUG